rnacentral:sRNA from 1 species
GAAUACCAGUUUCCGAGCGGCAGCGGCAGCGAUGGCGAUUUUUAGUGUGUAUGUGGUGAACAAAGCUGGCGGCUUGAUUUACCAGUUGGACAGCUACGCGCCACGGGCUGAGGCUGAGAAAACUUUCAGUUAUCCGCUGGAUCUGCUGCUCAAGCUACACGAUGAGCGUGUGUUGGUUGCUUUCGGCCAGCGGGACGGCAUCCGAGGUGGGCUAGGCUCGGGCCCGUGGCGGGUGCGGGGGUGGGAGGGCCCCAGUGCUGUAGAAGUGGGCUGGUUGUAGGUGCGGGGUUGGGGGGAAAGGGGUUGUGUCGGGUCCCUUGUCCCCUCGGCGGAAUCCCGGGGCUGCAGCUUCGCUGACCGUUAGCUUCACCUCUGCAGUGGGUCAUGCAGUGCUGGCCAUCAAUGGCAUGGACGUGAAUGGCAGGUACACGGCCGACGGGAAAGAGGUGCUGGAGUAUCUGGGUAACCCUGCUAAUUACCCGGUGUCCAUUCGAUUUGGCCGGCCCCGCCUCACUUCUAAUGAGAAGCUUAUGCUGGCCUCCAUGUUCCACUCGCUCUUUGCCAUCGGCUCCCAGCUGUCUCCUGAACAGGGAAGCUCAGGCAUUGAGAUGCUGGAGACAGACACAUUCAAAUUGCACUGCUACCAGACACUGACAGGGAUCAAGUUUGUGGUUCUAGCAGAUCCUAGGCAAGCUGGAAUAGAUUCUCUUCUCCGAAAGAUUUAUGAGAUUUACUCAGACUUUGCCCUCAAGAAUCCAUUCUAUUCCUUAGAAAUGCCUAUCAGGUGUGAGCUCUUUGACCAGAACCUGAAGCUAGCUCUGGAGGUGGCAGAGAAGGCUGGAACUUUUGGACCUGGGUCAUAGGCUGAACCUGUUAUGGACCCCCAAAUUCUGAGAGUUCCUGCAACAAGAAUACUGCUGUUGACACUCCAGUGGAAAUCCCAGCAGCCUUGUUAGUGCACUUGAAAGUGGGAGAAUGCUGACCCUGAUGACUUGUACUGAUUCCUGAGCCUUAACACUGUGCUCUUUCCUUCUGUAUAUACCAUGGUCUUACUUUCCAACUCUGUACAGAUUUAUUUAUGGAGGAGCUAGGUCCAUAAAUGUUGUAAUAAAUAUUCCUUUGAUCUUGGUGUUUGC